GGCUCAGGAUGAACGCUAGCUACAGGCUUAACACAUGCAAGUCGAGGGGCAGCGCAGUGUAGCAAUACAUGGGCGGCGACCGGCGCACGGGUGCGUAACGCGUAUCCAACCUUCCCGUUACUCAGGGAUAGCCUUCCGAAAGGGAGAUUAAUACCUGAUGGUGUUUGAAUUCCGCAUGUUAUUCAAACUAAAGAUUUAUCGGUAACGGAUGGGGAUGCGUGACAUUAGAUAGUAGGCGGGGUAACGGCCCACCGUGGCUACGAUGUCUAGGGGUUCUGAGAGGAAGGUCCCCCACACUGGAACUGAGACACGGUCCAGACUCCUACGGGAGGCAGCAGUGAGGAAUAUUGGUCAAUGGUCUGACGACUGAACCAGCCAUGCCGCGUGAAGGUCACGGCCCUAUGGGUCUUAAACUUCUUUUGCGAGGGAGCAAUAAGGCGCACGUGUGCGUCGAUGAGAGUACCUCGCGAAUAAGCAUCGGCUAACUCCGUG
rnacentral:rRNA from 1 species